rnacentral:rRNA from 1 species
GCUCAGGACGAACGCUGGCGGCGUGCUUAACACAUGCAAGUCGAACGGUGACUCAGAGCUUGCUCUGGUGAUCAGUGGCGAACGGGUGAGUAACACGUGAGCAACCUACCCUUGACUCUGGGAUAACAGCUGGAAACAGCUGCUAAUACCGGAUACGACCUCGACCGACAUCAGUUGAGGUGGAAAGUUCUGGCGGUCAAGGAUGGGCUCGCGGCCUAUCAGCUAGUUGGUGAGGUAACGGCUCACCAAGGCUUCGACGGGUAGCCGGCCUGAGAGGGCGACCGGCCACACUGGGACUGAGAUACGGCCCAGACUCCUACGGGAGGCAGCAGUA